rnacentral:rRNA from 1 species
GAUGAACGCUGGCGGCGUGCUUAACACAUGCAAGUCGAACGGUGAAGCAGGAGCUUGCUCUUGUGGAUCAGUGGCGAACGGGUGAGUAACACGUGAGCAACCUGCCCCUGACUCUGGGAUAAGCGCUGGAAACGGCGUCUAAUACUGGAUAUGUGAUGUGACCGCAUGGUCUGCAUCUGGAAAGAAUUUCGGUUGGGGAUGGGCUCGCGGCCUAUCAGCUUGUUGGUGAGGUAAUGGCUCACCAAGGCGUCGACGGGUAGCCGGCCUGAGAGGGUGACCGGCCACACUGGGACUGCGAAACGGCCCAGACUGCUACGGGAGGCAGCAGUGGGGAAUAUUGCACAAUGGGCGGAAGCCUGAUGCAGCAACGCCGCGUGAGGGAUGACGGCCUUCGGGUUGUAAACCUCUUUUCGCAGGGAAGAAGCGAAAGUGACGGUACCUGCAGAAAAAGCACCGGCUAACUACGUGCCAGCCGCCGCGGUAA